AAUUCAGUUGGCUACAUUCAAUAUAAUUAUGUACAAAUUUCUGUUGAUUUAACAUGGUGAAAUAGUACGGCUUGGUCAAAUUAAUGUUGUUCGGUUUGUUGUGUUAGCUGAUAGUAGCCUACCUGGUACCUGUUUCUUGGUGACACCUGUUCUUGGUUACAUGGAUGAAGGCCGGGUCGGGUUGCUUGUGCAGGUAACUCAAGAAGAGGACGUUCCGCUGAAUCAUUCUUCGCGCACAGGGCUGCGAGUUCGGAUUCCGGCAUAGACUGACCUCACCUGGCCAUAACUUUAUGCACGCGGACGCGCAGUGCAAAUUAGCUUAUUGGUCUUCCACAGGACAACCAUAGAGUGUGAGGAGUCUUCAGCAGUCAGUGCAUUGUGGGAGGAGUCUUCACCAAGUGGGAGAAGUUUAUUCUUCAGAAGGAUGGCAGGACCUGGCAUUGCUCUGAGAUUACAUGCGUUUAAAGAGCCCUCGUGUCCCAACGCAGCUGCACCAAAUAGAGUCACGCGUCAGGGGAGGGACACGCUUGGCCUGUAUCCAGGACAACUGGGACGGGUCCAUGUGGCUCCUUCAUCCAAUCACAGAGUGAGGUUUGCCAGCGUGGAGUUUCGCUCCGGUGCUCUGCAGGAGAACCGUGAGGAGCGCUACCCAGAAUCCUUUGAUCUGCAGACGCUGCGUGCUCUCCAGCUUGCCCGUGAGACCAGCGGCAGCCCGCAUGGACGAAGUACCGCCACUAGCCACCAGGCGGCGUUUGGCUCCCUGUCCUGCCUCUACCCUCCGGGUGACAGAAAAUUCACACCAGUCUCACAUCCAGGGCCUCUGAAACGUACGGAUCCAGCUGCAAUACGAAAGCAGCCUGCAGAGGGCGCUCUCUGAACAGCCUAUUUGAGUGCAUUUUCUACAUAAAAUACAGUCACAAGGCUUGAUACUGUAUUUUCUGAAGCAAUUUGUGGUUAAAUACUUUGUUCAGGGAUACAACGGCAGUGCCCCAGCUGGGAAUCAAACCCGCAACCUCAAGCCCAGUUCCUUAACCACUCAACUCUUCCACCACCCAGUCAUAACAAACAAUUAAAACGCUAAAAUAUCUGAUGUACUGUGAUUGGUUAAACCAUCUGGAAUGUUGACACUGAAAUACUGUUGUUUCUGUUUCUAGUGCCGUGUUAUAACCUCAGUAAC